UUUUAUAAGCAUUGCAUCGUAUAAAGUUGGAAAUAGGGUUCAACAGUUUCUACCAAAUCACCUUAAAUGAUUUGACUACGAUAUGAAUAAUC
rnacentral:ncRNA from 1 species